rnacentral:rRNA from 1 species
GACGAACGCUGGCGGCGUGCUUAACACAUGCAAGUCGAACGGAAAGGCCCUGCUUUUGUGGGGUGCUCGAGUGGCGAACGGGUGAGUAACACGUGAGUAACCUGCCCUUGACUUUGGGAUAACUUCAGGAAGCUGGGGCUAAUACCGGCUAGGAGCUCCUGCUGCAUGGUGGGGGUUGGAAAGUUUCGGCGGUUGGGGAUGGACUCGCGGCUUAUCAGCUUGUUGGUGGGGUAGUGGCUUACCAAGGCUUUGACGGGUAGCCGGCCUGAGAGGGUGACCGGCCACAUUGGGACUGAGAUACGGCCCAGACUCCUACGGGAGGCAGCAGUGGGGAAUAUUGCACAAUGGGCGGAAGCCUGAUGCAGCAACGCCGCGUGCGGGAUGACGGCCUUCGGGUUGUAAACCGCUUUCGCCUGUGACGAAGCGUGAGUGACGGUAAUGGGUAAAGAAGCACCGGCUAACUACGUG